rfam:Flavobacterium akiainvivens strain IK-1 scaffold00001, whole genome shotgun sequence.
GGGGCCGACUGGUUUUGACAGCAGGCCGAUGUGAACAGUAAGCACGCCGGGAAAUGAGGCUGUUCCCGUAUAUCAUUGCUUCGAACUUUUAAACGGCGAAAAUAACUACGCUCUUGCUGCUUAAUUCUGAAUUAUAGUAAGAUAAGCCUCGUCCCUGCAAGGCAGGGAGGCGGGAUUCUCCUGAAAAGCCCCGGUUUAUGGCGUUUCGAUUAGGAGAACCGUAAAAAUAGACCUGGGGAUGGCUUUGCUCUGCGGCUGUCCUGAGACUUAAGGAGCUAAGUGGUGUGUGGCAGUUUCCGGCCUUGCAUACCAUCUAAAACCCAAGCGGAAACUAAGCGUGUAGAAAGCUCUUUGCUUCCCUGUUUGGACCCGGGUUCAAUUCCCGGCGGCUCCACCG